rnacentral:rRNA from 1 species
AGUGAACGCUGGCGGUAGGCCUAACACAUGCAAGUCGAACGGCAGCACAGGAGAGCUUGCUCUCUGGGUGGCGAGUGGCGGACGGGUGAGGAAUGCAUCGGAAUCUACUCUUUCGUGGGGGAUAACGUAGGGAAACUUACGCUAAUACCGCAUACGACCUACGGGUGAAAGCCGGGGACCUUCGGGCCUGGCGCGAAAGAAUGAGCCGAUGCCCGAUUAGCUAGUUGGCGGGGUAAGAGCCCACCAAGGCGACGAUCGGUAGCUGGUCUGAGAGGAUGAUCAGCCACACUGGAACUGAGACACGGUCCAGACUCCUACGGGAGGCAGCAGUGGGGAAUAUUGGACAAUGGGCGCAAGCCUGAUCCAGCCAUACCGCGUGGGUGAAGAAGGCCUUCGGGUUGUAAAGCCCUUUUGUUGGGAAAGAAAAGCAGUCGGUUAAUACCCGAUUGUUCCGACGGUACCCAAGAAUAAG